rnacentral:tRNA from 1 species
GCCGAAGUAGCUCAGCUGGUAGAGCAAUGCUUUCGUAAAGCAGAGGUCGGCGGUUCGAUCCCGCCCUUCGGCU